rnacentral:lncRNA from 1 species
ACAAGCCUUGAACCCAAGGAUCAUAGAUCAUUAGGGAAAAGUAGACAGAUUGAUUGUAAGGGCCAGAAGACAAGAAAAAUUCUAUAAGAAAAGCAGAUGCUAUUAAAGAGAUACCAUUAAGAACUCAUUCGACAAGUAAUUGGGAGACUCAGAAGUCUAAGAUCUACUAGCAAACUAAAGAGUUAUGGGGGCUGAUGGAAUAAUUUCUAACCACGUCAAUGCAGUAGAAAAGUAAUAGACAGGCUCAAAGACAGCAAGUCAGAGAGAAAGAAUUCCUCUCUCAAAUUUUUACUCCA